rnacentral:rRNA from 1 species
GAUGAACGCUGGCGGCGUGCCUAAUACAUGCAAGUCGAGCGAACGGACGAGAAGCUUGCUUCUCUGAUGUUAGCGGCGGACGGGUGAGUAACACGUGGAUAACCUACCUAUAAGACUGGGAUAACUUCGGGAAACCGUAGCUAAUACCGGAUAAUAUUUUGAACCGCAUGGUUCAAAAGUGAAAGACGGUCUUGCUGUCACUUAUAGAUGGAUCCGCGCUGCAUUAGCUAGUUGGUAAGGUAACGGCUUACCAAGGCAACGAUGCAUAGCCGACCUGAGAGGGUGAUCGGCCACACUGGAACUGAGACACGGUCCAGACUCCUACGGGAGGCAGCAGUAGGGAAUCUUCCGCAAUGGGCGAAAGCCUGACGGAGCAACGCCGCGUGAGCGAUGAAGGUCUUCGGAUCGUAAAACUCUGUUAUUAGGGAAGAACAUAUGUGUAAGUAGCUGUGCACAUCUUGACGGUACCUAAUCAGAAAGCCACGGCUAACUACGUG